rfam:Oryza sativa (indica cultivar-group) chromosome 2, whole genome shotgun sequence.
AAAAAGAUAAACCCUAGAUUUUUUUUUCUAACGUUUGAUUGUCCGUUUUAUAUGAAAUUUUUUUAUAAUUAGUAUAUUCAUUAUUGUUAGAUGAUAAAACAUGAUUAAUGUUUUAUGCGUGACUUAUUUUUUUAAUUUUUUUCAUUAUUUUUUUAAAUAAGAUAGGCGGUUAAACGUCGAAUACGGAAACCUUAUC